CCAGGAUAUCCAUGAAGCACUGAGGCAGGGAACAGGUCUGCUUGACUCAAGACAUUGCUGCUGCUCCUGCAUUUCAUGGGUUUUAAGAGCAGAAGAGCUCAUCGGACCAUCUGGCUGGAACUCUGCACAGGCCAUAGACCUCACCCAGUUCCUCUCUCCUGAGAGUGUGCCAGCAGCCAGGGCUCACUCAGGACACAAAGUAGACAGUACUGACAGCAGGGACUGGUCGUGACCAGGAUGAAGGAGUGGGCAUCAAGGAAAGCGUGCCCCUUCCCAGCUAGUUCUGCCCACAUUACCUAACCCAGGUAAAGAUCUGAACUACGCAAAAUCAGAUAUGGAAAGCACACGCACGCAGGUGUACAGGUAAAUGUGUAACAUCUCUGCACCACCACGAUC
rnacentral:lncRNA from 1 species